rnacentral:rRNA from 1 species
GAUGAACGCUAGCUACAGGCUUAACACAUGCAAGUCGAGGGGCAGCGCAGUGUAGCAAUACACGGGCGGCGACCGGCGCACGGGUGCGUAACGCGUAUCCAACCUUCCCGUUACUCAGGGAUAGCCUUCCGAAAGGGAGAUUAAUACCUGAUGGUGUUUGAAUUCCGCAUGUUAUUCAAACUAAAGAUUUAUCGGUAACGGGUGGGGAUGCGUGACAUUAGAUAGUAGGCGGGGUAACGGCCCACCUAGUCUACGAUGUCUAGGGGUUCUGAGAGGAAGGUCCCCCACACUGGAACUGAGACACGGUCCAGACUCCUACGGGAGGCAGCAGUGAGGAAUAUUGGUCAAUGGUCGGAAGACUGAACCAGCCAAGUAGCGUGAAGGAUGAAGGUUCUAUGGAUUGUAAACUUCUUUUAUACGGGAAUAAAACCUCCCACGUGUGGGAGCUUGUAUGUACCGUAUGAAUAAGCAUCGGCUAACUCCGUGCCAGCAGCCGCCGUAAAAC